rnacentral:rRNA from 1 species
UGUGGAACGAGCGGCGGACGGGUGAGUAACACGUGGGCAACCUGCCUGUAAGAUUGGGAUAACCCCGGGAAACCGGGGCUAAUACCGGAUAAUACUUUUCGUUGCAUAACGAGAAGUUGAAAGGCGGCUUUUAGCUGUCACUUACAGAUGGGCCCGCGGCGCAUUAGCUAGUUGGUAAGGUAACGGCUUACCAAGGCGACGAUGCGUAGCCGACCUGAGAGGGUGAUCGGCCACACUGGGACUGAGACACGGCCCAGACUCCUACGGGAGGCAGCAGUAGGGAAUCUUCCGCAAUGGACGAAAGUCUGACGGAGCAACGCCGCGUGAGUGAUGAAGGUUUUCGGAUCGUAAAACUCUGUUGUCAGGGAAGAACAAGUGCCGUUCAAAUAGGGCGGCACCUUGACGGUACCUGACCAGAAAGCCCCGGCUAACUACGUGCCAGCAGCCGCGGUAAUACGUAGGGGGCAAGCGUUGUCCGGAAUUAUUGGGCGUAAAGCGCGCGCAGGCGGUCCUUUAAGUCUGAUGUGAAAGCCCACGGCUUAACCGUGGAGGGCCAUUGGAAACUGGAGGACUUGAGUACAGAAGAGGAGAGUGGAAUUCCACGUGUAGCGGUGAAAUGCGUAGAGAUGUGGAGGAACACCAGUGGCGAAGGCGACUCUCUGGUCUGUAACU